UUUACCAAUAUAUUUGCAAACGCUAUCCAACACUUGACAAAUAAAAGCCGAAAGUUUAGUUUCCGGACUUAGUACUACAAAAUCAUAGAUUGUCUUUAAUGGCUUGUAAUGUACCUAAGUAGUCUCAUCCUCACAAUCUUCCUAUUGAUUAAAUGUAUCAUUAGAAGAAUAUGUUAGAAAAGUCUAUCAUAAAGAGGACAACAAUUUUAAAUGUCAUAAUUCUUCAAUUACAAAUUGUUGUAUGAAGAAAUAGGAGUUGCUUUGAACAACCCUUAGCCAAUGCAAGCACUAGUGCUUGUUUCUUUGUUAAAUGAACAAAGAACUUGAGAAGAAAGCACAAAGGCAUGGACACUUAAUGUGCCAUGAUUCUUCACUUACAAAUUGUUGUAUGACGAAAUGAGAGUUGCCUUGUACAACUCUUGAAGGUUUGUAAUUAUGUUUAGAACAUAAUGGUUGGUUGACAAAAAUAGUCCAUUAACAUGGACUUAUGAUGAUUUUGAAUCAUUGAGUGUUGAAGUGAUAAACCACUUAACGAGACGGAAACUAGGCAAGGACUUCACCUUUGUUUCCCUACACUAAUGGUUCACUAAGUUUAUUGUAAACUAUGUAGUGAACAAUAACCACAUGCUCUCCAAAAUGUUUGAUGUGUACAAUACAAUUGAAAUAAGCUUCAAGAGAGAUAGUGGGAGUUUAGGGACCAUGACUAAUGUAGUCAAAGGAGAAGUCAAAUGAAGAAGAUUAAAUUAACUCCAAGGGAACAAACUUUCUUUAUGAAAGGAUGGACAUUGGAAGGGGUAUUUGCAAGAAAUGUCUUGCAAGUGUCAAGAACACACCUUUCGAAGGCGUUGUAAAUUGUUCUUGAAUAGUUCAAAACAGUUGGUUCUUCUACUUGAAUGCUUGAUUCCGUAUUAGUAACUAAGUUUUACAAUCGUUGUAAAAGUAUGGCUAAUAAGAAGUAGAAGAUAUAUGAGAGAAGAGAAAGUACUUCACAUUCGAAACGUGAAUCAAAUGUAGAUCUCUGCGAAAGCAGAUGGUACUUACUUCCUCAUAUGAACUACCAAAGAAAUUGGAAAAAAUGUAGAUUGUCUUUAUGUUCCAAUUUUAAGGAACUAAAUUCCGUCACUAUGUGAAAUGGAUAAAUGUUUUGUUUGACAAAACAUUGUUCUUUAUUAAUGAAUGAUUAGAUUAUUGUAAUCUAAUUAAUUAUCUCUAUAGUAGAGAUGAUAUGGUAGUGUUAACUGUUUAGAAUAUAAUGAUGCUUAAAACCCAAAAGGUUGCAAGGUAGUGACUAAUCCCAACUAAAGUUGUGAUACCUCUAAAACAUAAAUUACGAGUUGGUCAUAGAUGGACGCUUUGGAUCGUUAGAUCCGGAUCCAAUACCUUCUUGUUAAAAUUAUAUAGAGGCGAAAUGUUCGAAUCUUUAUUCUUUUGGAAAGAAGAAAGAAUCACAAAGUUGUUGAGGUUAAUUCACUUAGAUGUUAGUGGCACUUGUCCACAAACAUAAUACUACUCAUGUUGGAUAACAUUCACCGAAGAUCACUCUCGGUUGGACUAUAGUUUAUUUUGAAUAAACACAAGCCUGAAUACUUUGCAAAAUGUUUCAAAGAAUUCAAGAAAUGUAAGUUGAUGAGUAAGACAUCUAAAGUAUUUACAUCCUUAGAUUUGAUCCAAGGAAUGGUAACACUUUAGAAUAGUUUUUCUUUGAAAGAUAUCAAGGAAAAUAGCAUCAUAAGAUAAUGAAUUUCUCCUUUAGGAGAAGAACGAACUCGAAUAAGAUUUAGUUCGUUAGAUGUUAUCUAUUACCCAUAUAUAGGAUAUAUACUUCUAAAACAAUAUGAUUGUAAAUUAGAAGAUCUUCCAAUAUUUUCAUGACUCCAUAAGAUGUAGUUGGAAAGAAAGACAAAUCUUAAGCAUUAUUAAGAUU
rnacentral:lncRNA from 1 species